rnacentral:lncRNA from 1 species
AGGUGGGUGUGGCUGGAGGAGGGGGCAUUGGGGGCGUGGCUUUGGGGUCUCUAUUUGUCUCUGGAGAGUGGAGUCUCUCUCUGCUUCCUGGUCACCAUGUGAGCUGCUUCCCUCCACCACACUCUUCCUCCAUGAUGUCCUGCCUCCCCUCGAGCCCCGAGGAAUGGAGCCUGCUGUCUAUGGACUGGGACCUCUGAAACCCUGAGCCCCCAGAUAAACUUUUCCUCCUCUACAGUUGUUCUGGUCAGAUCUUUAAGUCACAGCUGUGAAAGAGCUGACUGAAACAAUUUCUAAAAGUUCCCAGGUCACAUAAAACUUAAGAAGGAAAAUUCGCAUGUUUUUCUCUUGUUAAUCUGUCUUUUGUUACAGGAGCCUGAGCAUGAACCUAGACUUGACAUGGAAAAGAUAUUACUGUGUCUCUUUGUGCCUGUCAUGAACAUUUUAGGGCAAGAGAUUUGGUGCACUUGUGUAGGCAUUUCUCUUGGGUCACGCUGUGGUUGUUCUUGUCUGGGAAUCUGUGAACUUGGCCCUGAUCAAAAUUGUUGCUUCAGUGAUGUAUCCUUGUUAGAACUCUUAUGUGUGGAUGUCACUCAGUGAGAAAGCACUUGCCUAGCAAGUGUGAGGCCCUGGGUUUGAUCCCCAGUAUAGCAAAAAAAAAAAAAAAAUCAAUGAUUCAGCACAAAAAUUAAAAGUUAUGAUACCCCCAAUUUUGCAGAUAUAGAAGCAAAAUAGCAGGGUGCAAAUGAGGUUAUUAAAACAAUUUUUUUAUCAUAGGAGAAAUAGCAUUGAUGCUUCUGUCUUGAAAACAGAUGCCCUCAAGGAGAUGAAGCUUCCCGUUAAGCUCUCAUUCAUGCUGUGUCUCCAGUACAUGCAAAAAAUGUCCCCCCACACAUCACCCAGCAACUGCAGGCGGAGAAGUGGUCCACUUCUUUAAAAUAGAUGAAAGACUUUGCAGAGCAGCGAGAAGUUGACAUAUCUCACCUGUGGGGGUGCGGGAUUGUCAUCAAGGCCCUGCGUCAUGGUGAAAUUGGCAGUAUUUUUGUUCUUCCUUUUAGGCAGAUAAAUAACAAUGCAUUCAGGAACAGCAAUGGCUUAGAGCUGGUGACAUAUGGUAAUUAGGAGAAUAUUAAAGCUAUAAUUUAUUAGUGCUAGUGUUGUACUCAGCAAUUUACAAACAUUCUCCCAUUUAAUUUAAUCUUCACAGCAGCUUUAUAUGAUAGGGAAGAUUUUGGGCCAGGGAGAAAUUAGGUACUUGGAGCAAAGCUACGUGGUAGCGAUGGAGUCAGCCUCCUUCUGAAUGAUUACUGCCCAGGGCUGGGAGGUCUGAGAGUGUCCAGCUGUGCCAGUGGAAGAUGAGUUCAGUCCAGGUGAGGAGGGCAGAAAGGUCCUAUUGGCAUUGUGUCAGGGUAGUGUUCUCUCCUCCAGUUUUACCAGUCAUAAAGCCACCUCCGGUCCCAGUUCUCACCCUCUGUUAACUGCAUGGGUUGAUAUAGUUUAAUAGUGUUCUUAUAAUCUCCCUGUUUCGAUAUUAUCCCCCGUCGUGUCUGUUUUCAACACAACGGCUAGAGUGAAUAUUUUUUUUAAAAUUUUUUUUGUUGGUUGUUCAAAACAUUACAUAGUUCUUGAUAUAUCAUAUUUCACACUUUGAUUCAAGUGGGUUAUGAACUCCCUUUUUUACCCCGUAUACAGAUUGCAGAAUCAUAUCAGUUACACAUCCAUUGAUUUACAUGUUGCCAUACUAGUGUCUGUUGUAUUCUGCUGCCUUUCCUAUCCUCUACUAUCCCCCCUCCCCUCCCCUCCCCUCCCAUCUUCUCUCUCUACCCCCUCUACUGUCAUUCAUUUCUCCCCCUUGUAUUAUUUUUCCCUNCCCUGUAGCAUGCUCUUUUUAGGUCUUUAGGGAAUAGACCGAGACUAGCUCAGCGGUUCCUUCGACAGAAAACUUACAAUAGAGUGAAUAUUUAAAACCUGAAGCAGCCAGGAGCAGUGGCACUGGCCCGUAAUCCCAGCACCUCGGAGGCUGAGGCUGGAGGAUCAACAGUUCAGAGCCAGCCUCAGCCAUUUAGCAAGGCCCUAAGCAACUCAGUGAGAACCUGUCUCUAAUAAAAUAUUUUUUAAAAAAGGGCUGGGGAUGUGGCUCAGUAGUUGAGCACCCCUGGGUUCAACCCACAGUACGUACUAAAAAAAAAAAAGUACGGCCUAAAGUAGAAAAAAAUAAACAAAAUCUAAAGCAGAAUAUGUCACUUAUCAGGACUGGGGUGUAGCUCAGUGGUAGAGCCCUUACCUAGAAUGUAGGAAGUCCUGGGAUUGAUCCCUAGCACUGCAUAAACAAAUAAAUAAGCAAGCAAAUAAAUAAGAAAUCCUUCCAAGGAUUCCUACCUCACUUGGCAUGAAAACUGAAGUCUUCACAGCCCCCUAUAAGGCCUUGGGCCUGGUGGCCUGAUGCCACCCUCUGACUUCUUCUCUAAUCACCCCCCUCCCGUAGUUCCAGCCAUAGCAGCCUUUCUCAGUGUGAGUCCCCCACCUGGAACAGACGUGGAGACACUGAUUUGAGUGUCAAUCACUUUUUUUGGAAAGUGAAGGGAAUGCCCUUAGGAAAUUGAACGGGAGGUAGGAAAGGGAACUCUCCCAAUACAGGGUGUGUCGCCAAAGCCACGGUGGGCAACAGAUAUUAAUUCCCACUGGAAAGUUCUGGAAGCCAGGUCAUGCAAGAACUUAGCCUGCCUGAGGGGCAGGGGUCUUGGAUCUCUAUCCAGCAACUCCUGUCUGUCCCUGGCCUGUGUCACCUCCUGCCACUGCUAGGAAGCUGUGUGUGGGGACAGGACAGGGGUCAGUGCCAGAGAGAGCCCUCAAGCAAAAUGAGGGCUGAUGCAGGCCAUCUGAUGUUAGCCAGGUGCUGAAAUGGCUAGGCCCGAGGUGUGUGGGCGGGACCUGAGGAAGUCCCUCAGGCCCCUGACGUUGCUGUCCCUCUACCUGGAACACUCCCCACUGAGAUACGCAGACACUGGUCCUUGAGAUAUGUGCACACAUGACUCCUGGGGCGGAGGGAGGGUCUUUCCUGAUCCCUUCUCUAAAUCGUCCCCAACUCCUAACACAUGCGUAUAUCUUACUUAUUGUCUGUCUUCUCCAAGUAAAUAGAGGCACAAGGAGGGCAGAAAUUUUGAUCUGCUGUAAUGGUUGCAUUAUCCUCAAUGCCUAGCACCAUGUCUGGCACAUAAUAGAAGUUCAAUAAAUAUGGAAUAGACAUUUGAAAGGUUCUUGUUUUUUGUGUUUUUCAGUACUGGAAAUUGAACCCUGAACUACAUCCCCAGGCAUUUCCAUUUUUAAUUUUGAGUCAGGGUCUCUCUAAGUUGCCCAGGCUGACAUCAAACUUGUAAUUCCCCUUCCUCAGCCUUGGAGUGGCUGGGAUCACAGGUGUGUGUGUCAUCACACCCGGCAUGAAAGAUCAGAUUUUCAAAAUCUCUGUUUUGGCCUGGUUCGGUCGUGAAUGCCUAUAAUCUCAGCAGCUCGGCAGGAGGCUGAAGCGUGAGGAUCAUGAAUUCAAAGCCAGCCUCUGCAACUUAGCAAGGGCCUAAGCAACUCAGUGAGACCCUGUCCCUAAAUAAAAUACAAAAUAGGGCUGGGGAUGGGGCUCAGUGGUAGAGUGCCCCUGAGUUCAAUCCCCUGUGCCAAUAAAUAAAUAAAUUAAUCUCUCUUUUGUCCCAUUGUUUAUCUAUAGUCACCUAUGGGGAAGAAGAAUAUGAUUAAUUGCCAUCUUCACAGUUUAUAUAUUUUUAUUGUUUUUUUUGGGGGGGAUGGGAGGAUCUUGCUAUGUUGCCCAGGAUCAUCUCUCUUUCUUUCUUAAUCUUAAUUAUUAAUUUUUAGAUGUACAUGACACCCAGGCUCAUCUCUAACUGGUGGGCUCAAGAGAUCUUCCCCCCUAAGCCCUCCGGAUUUGGGACUACACUGCGCACACACCAGCAGGCCUGGCAGAUUGGCAUCUUCCAACUUCAACGCACACUUGUUUAUAUUUGGGGCCUGGUUGUGAGUUCCUUUAAAUGCACCCCUGCCCAUUCCACAAAUAACGAGUAUCUUGUCUCGUGCCAGGCACUGUUCAAAGAACUAAAAAGUGACAGUAUAUCAGCCAGGAAUGACUUUUGGCACAAAGUGACAGAAAUGCUGAAAGCAUGGUUUAAACCAAGUCAGGUUCUCAUUUCCCCAUGUAAUUAGAAGUCUAGACAGAGGCCAACCAGGGCCCCCACAGUGGCUCCACGGGGGCCAUCGGGGACCACGUCUGCCUUUCCCUUCUCCUCGGGGUCUCAAGCUUGCUGCUCCAGCAACCAGCAGCCUCUGCAUUCCAGGCAGAGAGGAGAGAUGGCAAAGGGAAACGUGUGUUCCAGAGGAUUCCUCACCUGGGAAGAGCAUUCCUAGAAAGCUCCUCGCUCAUCUUGUGCAGCAUUUAUUAGUUUGCAUUUUUUUUGUACCAGGGAUUGAGCCCCAUCCCCAGCCCUUUUCAUAUUUUAUUUAGAGACAGGGUCUCACUGAGUUGCUUAGGGCCUCGCUAAGUGGCUGAGGCUGGCCUUGAACUUGUGAUCCUCCUGCCUCAGCCUCCCGAGCUGCUGGGAUUACAGGUGUGUACACUGUGCCCAGCAAGAACCAUGAAAGCUGUCACCAUAGUGCAGAAAAAAAUAAAAAACAAGACAUCAAACACCUCUUCACUUACCUGUACAUGCCACUUGCAAAACACACCAAAUAGCCACCAAUGUUGUGCAGAGAGACUACAUAAGAGGUGGAGUUCAGAGGUGACCCAGGUUCUGUCUCGUACCUAGAAGUCAGGGAAGCAGCUUUCAGAGGUGACCUUGGCGCUGACUUCUAAGUGAUGGUACAGAGGCAGCCUUUCCAAGAUCAACCACAAUUUUACUGAUCUUUUGUUGGUCAUCAUUUAAUCCAGGACAGGAAGGCAGUCUCACCUUGUCUGCCUCGUUCUACACAAUCCAGCCUUCCAGAUAGGGUGUCCAUCAUUCUUAGUUUUCCUGAACAUUCUUUCAGUGCUGUCAUGGGACCAUUUUUUUCCUUCCUCCUCUUUUUCUCUUCUCUUCUCUUUUCUCCCUCAGCAAAAAUAAUAAUAAUAAUAAUAAUCGAAGUUCUCAUUGAAGUUAUUCCUUGACCACAAUGGUCAAAGAUCAUGGGACUCGGGGUGGCGAGGAGGGCUGGUUUGCUGUUAAGCGGGACAGAACACAAUGCCAGGAAGACGCAUCUCGGGGAAAUAAACCAGAUGUGGAAGAUCCAUAAGAGAAUGGGCAAUUUGGGGAAAUCCUGCUUAACCCAUAAGACAGUCUGGCGAAUGUCGAUUUUAUUGAAGGAGAUGCAUCGUGUGAGCUCAAAGAUUUGGAAUCUUGAUGCUUCUCUGCAGCACUGGGAGAAACUCUAUCCCUGUGUUACGGUCUCAUUUCAAUACAGCCUUAGAAAGGGGUUCACAAGCUUCAUGUAUUGUAAGUCAGUUGUUACUGAGAAAUGUGUGUGUGUGUGUGUGUGUGUGUGUGUGUGAGAGAGAGAGAGAGAGAGAGAGAGAGAGAGAGAGAGAGAGACUCUGAGUGUUGAACCAGCCUCAUAUAUGUUAAGCAAGUUUUCUAUUAUUGAACCACACCCCCAGCUCUGAAAUGUGCUUUUUAUUUAUUUAUUUUUAAGACACUGUAGAUUGAACCCAGGGGCAUUUGACCACUGAGCCCCAUCCCCAGCUCUAUUUUGUGUUUUAUUUAGAGACAGGAUCUCCUUGAGUUGCUUAGGGCCUCACUAAGUUGCUGAGGCUGGCUUUGAACUCACGAUCCUCCUGCCUCAGCCUCCCGAGCUGCUGGGAUUACAGACUUGUACCACUGAGCCCAGUUGAAAUGUGAUUUUUUUACAUCUGGAAAUUUUACUGAUCACAAUAGGGAUUAUGAGGGCUGGGGAUGUAGCCUGGUGGUACAGAGCUGGCUUAGCAAGGGAGAGGCCCUGGGUUCAAUUCCCAGUACCCCCCCACACACACACACAAAAUAGAAAAGAAAAAAAGGAUUACAAUGUGACUGUAUUUUUUCUCGAAACUGUCAGCAUAUGGUCUCUUGCUAUCUGUUGUUUUCUCCCAGUAUUUUAUGAGGUAGGUAGUUGUCCUUUAUCCAAGGUGUGCCACACAUAGAAACACCUUUGUGCAAGUAGGGAACUACAAUUUCUAAAAUAUCUAGCUAGAUGAAAAUCAGCAGAUGCGUUCAAGUCCACUUUCAAGAGAAUCGACGGAGGAGGGUGGGGAAAUGUCAGGGAACACUGUGGCUAUCUGCCACCUUACCUUACAUUUACCAGUGACUUUUUAUGCUUCAUAGAGAAAUGGUGAACAUGCUUCCUAUCCCAUUUAAUUUUGGAAUCUGAAUGCGGUCAUACUGUGUUUUCUCCUUUGCUUUAAAGAUUAAGGACUCUUUAUGGGAUGGCUACUGAGGAUUGAACCCAGAGGUGCACUACCACUUAGCCACAUCCCAGCCCUGUUCUUUUUUCUUUCUUUAUCAAAGAUUGAACCCAAGGGCACUUAACCACUGAGCCGCAUCCCUUUUUUUAUGUUUUAUGUAGAGACAGGGUCUCGUGAAAUUGCUUAGGGCCUUGCUAAAUUGCUGGCUCCUGCUGCAGCCUCCCAAGCCACUGAGAUUAUAGGUGUUGCACCACCAUGCCUGGCUUCAUUUUUUAUCUUGAGACAGGGUCUUGCUAAGUUGCUGAGGCUGGCCUCAAACUUGAGAUCCUCCUGCCUCAGCCUCCUGAGUUGCUGGGAUUACAGGUGUGCACCUGGGUAAGAAUAAGUACUUUUUCGUCCCCAAUUUCACCAAGAUGGUGAGGUGAUUCAGUACUUUUGUAAACUGCUACACCCAGAUGACUUAUUAGCGUUAUGUACCGUUUUUCAUUAUUUAUCUGGAUAUAUUAGUGCUGUGUAAAUGCAGCCUAAGUGGAAAGGGUUUUCGGCCAUGCUGGGAGUGGAGCCCAGAGCCUUCCUCACACCUGCUAGGCAAGUGCUCUACCACUGAGUUACACCCCACCUACCAACAGCUUUUCUUUUUAGUUGUAAGAAAUCUGUAUGAUAACUGGGCAUGGUGAUGUUUGCCUGUAGCCUCAGCUUCUUAGGAGGCUGAGGCAGGAGGAUCACCUCAGCCCAGGAGUUUGAGACCAGCCUGGGCAAUGUAGUGGAAACCUGUCUCAAAAACACAAACAAAAAACCUGUUUUCUGAGCUGGGUUUUGGCUCAGUGGUACAGUGCUUUCUAGGCACAUGUGAAGCACUGGGUUCAAUCCUUAGCACCACAUAAAAAUAGAUAAAUAAAAUAAAGGCACUGUGUCAAAAUAAAAUAUAAGGCACUGUGUCAAUCUACAACAAAUAUUUAAAAAACAAAAUUGUUUUCUGCCAGGCACUGUGGAGCACGCCUGUAAUCCCAGCAGCUGGGGAGGCUGAGGCAGGAGGAUCAGAAGUUCAAAGCCAGCCUCAGCAAAAGUGAGGGCCAAACAACUCAGCGAGACCCUGUCUCUAAAUAAAAUACAGAAUAGGGCUGGGGAUGGGGCUCAGUGAUUGAGGGCCCCUGAGUUCAACACCUGGUUCAAAAAAAAAAAAAACCUGUUUUGUUUUGGGGUGUGUGUGGGGUUACUGGACAUCAAUCUCAGGGCCUCACAUAUGUGAGGCACAUGCUCCAUUACUGAGCUAUGUCUCCAACUCUUUUUAAAACUUUGAGACAGGAUCUUGCUAAGCUGGCCUUGACUUGGGAUCCUUCUGCCUCAGCCUCCCCAUAGCUAGAAUUGAGGGGUGGGAUCACACUAGGAAAAUCUAUGUUAUAAUAGAGUCAAACAUGGCAAUAUCUUUAGGAAGCAUGACUCUUUCCUUUCCCCUCCCCUUUGAUAAUGAUUUUCUCUGUUUAAAGAAUCCCUCCUCUUUAUCCUAUUGAUCAUAAACCCCCAUAUUCUUAAUUUUUGAAUUCCAUGCCUUGUUCAUGCCCUAAAUCUACUUAUGGAAUAAACUUUGAAGAAAAAAAGAUUUUGAUAGCCAGAAACGUUUUAAAAAUGCUACCUGAGUGGUUUAAAUAUUCUAUUGUAUUAACAUGAAGGAAUUUAUUUGCAAUGAUUAGCAACCAUAUUCUUAAAAUAUCUAAUGAGAAAAUGGUGUUAUCAUGUUGAGUUAAGAUAAGGAGGCCAGGGAGAGCGGUCACUGGAGCAUUUCAGUUUUGUAAGAUGCAUUUGGAAAACUGGAACAUGAUAUAUCCCAGUAUGAUGUACUGCAUGGUGGAAAUGUAAUUUUUACUUUCUUAUUUUGUAUUUUCCUUCAUGGUUAUUUUUACACGGAUUGCUUUUACAUGGAUCUUUUUUUGUUACAAUGAAUACAUAAAGACAAUUUUUUUGGGGGGGAGGGCACCUGGGGAUUGAACCCAGGGGCAUUCAACCACUCAGCCCCGCCCCCUUUCUUUUUCCUUUUUGUAUUUAAUUUAGAGUCUGGCUGCGCUUGUUCUAUAUGAUGGGAACGAAGACCUUCAGAGCAUGAGAACAGGGAAGAGACCAUACAUUGCUCAACGAGAACUCCAGCCUAGCACCGAGGCACAUGCCUGUCAUCCCAGCGACCCCUGCGGCUGAGGCAGGAGGAUCGCAAGUUCAAGAUCAUCCUGCGCAAUUUAGUGUCUCAAAAUAAGAAAUAAAAAUAAAAAGGUCUGGAGAUGUAGUUCUGUGUUAGAGCAAUUGCCAAGCAGGUGUAAGGCCCUUGGUUCCAUCCCCAAUACUGCAAAAAAUAAAUAGAUAAAGGAAAGAAAGAAAGAAAACAAUAUUAUAAUCUAGAGUUGGGUGCAGUGAUGCACACCUGUAAUCCCAACAGCUCAGGAGGCUGAGGCAGGAGGAUCUGAGUUCAAAGCCAGCCUCAGCAACUUAGCAAGGUCCUAAGCAACUCAUGGAGACCCUGUCUCUAAAUCAAGAAUAAAAAGGGCUGGGGAUGUGGCUCAGUGGUUAAGUGCCCCAGGGUUCAAUCCCUGGUAUCCAAAUACACACACACACACACACACACACACACCACACACGCACACACCACACAUGCACACACCACACAUGCACACACCACACACGCACACACAAACACACACACACUCCAAUGAUCAUAGCAUUGGAAGGAAAGAAGAGCUAGAACGUUAAAAAUAUUACCAUUUAUGCUGAUAUUGCAGCCUUCCCUAUUUAAAGGUCUACUUAGUGGACUUCCUUCUAAUUGGAAAACAAAACAGGGAUUCCUAGCUAGGCCCUUCUCUUUAUCUCUUUCUGUUGAAACACAGAUAUCCUGUUGUGAUAACCUUUGACACUUCAUUACAUCGCCACAGUAAAUAACAACUGCCCCUAUUUUGUCAUGCUACCCCUGGUUAAACAGUGCCAUUCAUCACUGAACAUAAAAGUUGACAUUUUUGUGAAUAGAAGGAAAUGUCAUUUGAAUUCCUUUGCUGUGUUCCCUAAAUUUAUUCAAGGGUUCUGAAUGGUUUAAAUGGCUAAGAAAACUAUGGGGUGGUUGGUUUGUCAGAGAGAACUGCCCCCCACCAAAAAGAGGAUCCAGCCCGUCUGGGGCCAGCGGCAAAAUGUUAAGACUUACAGAACUUCACAGGAAACAUGAACCCGAGUCACCAGGACAGCCACAAGGCCAAAAUAGAUCACAUAGGAAAUAGUUGUUUGCAAUUAUUAAUUAUUCUCAUUGAAAUAUCACCAAUUUAGUUAUUCUGUAGUAGAUAUCUAACUAAUGUGAAAGAUAUCCGCAAGUUUUCUUAUUGCUUAGAAUUGCUUAAGUAGUUUUUGGUUUACUAUUAAAAAAGGACACUUGAGGCUGGGGCUGGGGCUCAGUGGUAGCGCACUUACCUGGCAUGUGUAAGGUACUGGGUUCGAUUCUCAGCACCACAUGUAAACAAAUAAAU